rnacentral:rRNA from 1 species
GGAACACGUACAGAAUCUACCUUGAUCUGGGGCAUAGCCCGGAGAAAUCCGGAUUAACUCCCCAUAACAUAUAUGAGAGGCAUCUCUUGAAUAUUAAAAAUUUAUUGGAUCAAGAUGACUGUGCGUCCCAUUAGCUAGUUGGUAGGGUAACGGCUACCAAGGCAACGAUGGGUAGCUGGUGUGAGAGCACGACCAGCCACACGGGUACUGAGACACGGACCCGACUCCUACGGGAGGCAGCAGUGAGGAAUAUUGGUCAAUGGACGCAAGUCUGAACCAGCCAUGCCGCGUGAAGGAUGAAGGCCUUCUGGGUUGUAAACUUCUUUUACCUGGGAAGAAACCACUAUUUUCUAAUAGUGUUGACGGUACCAGAGGAAUAAGCACCGGCUAACUCCGUGCCAGCAGCCGCGGUAAUACGGAGGGUGCAAGCGUUAUCCGGAUUUACUGGGUUUAAAGGGUGUGUAAGCGGGCUUUUAAGUCAGUGGUGAAAUCUCCGGGCUCAACCGGAAACUGGCAUUGAUACUAUUAGUCUUGAAUUUUGUUGAGG